ACUGCACCCCAAACCCCAAAGACCAUUGUUUUCUUGUCCGAUGGUCUUAUCUGGGGUGCUGACAUCAUCUGGACCUCGUCGCCUUUCAAGAGCUGCUUGAAGUGCUCCUGAAAGUGAAAUGAAAGGUUCAACAUAU